GAUACCCUGGUAGUCCACACUGUAAACGAUGAUAACUCGCUGUCGGCGAUACACAGUCGGUGGCCAAACGAAAGCGAUAAGUUAUCCACCUGGGGAGUACGACCGCAAGGUUGAAACUCAAAGGAAUUGACGGGGGCCCGCACAAGCGGAGGAACAUGUGGUUUAAUUCGAUGAUACGCGAGGAACCUUACCCGGGCUCGAACGGUGCAUGAAUGAUUCAGAGAUGGAUUAGUCCUUCGGGACAUGUAUCGAGGUGCUGCAUGGUUGUCGUCAGCUCGUGCCGUGAGGUGUCGGCUUAAGUGCCAUAACGAGCGCAACCCUUGUCGUUAGUUGCCAUCAGGUAAUGCUGGGAACUCUAGCGAGACUGCCGGUGACAAACCGGAGGAAGGUGGGGAUGACGUCAAGUCCUCAUGGCCCUUAUGGGUAGGGCUUCACACGUCAUACAAUGGUCGGUACAGAGGGUUGCCAAGCCGCGAGGUGGAGCCAAUCCCUUAAAGCCGAUCGUAGUCCGGAUCGUAGUCUGCAACUCGACUACGUGAAGUCGGAAUCGCUAGUAAUCGCAGAUCAGCAUGCUGCGGUGAAUACGUUCCCGGGUCUUGUACACACCGCCCGUCACACCAUGGGAGUGGGUUUCACCAGAAGUAGGUAGCUUAACCUUCGGGAGGGCGCUUACCACGGUGAGAUUCAUGACUGGGGUGAAGUCGUAACAAGGUAGCCGUAUCGGAAGGUGCGGCUGGAUCACCUCCUU
rnacentral:rRNA from 1 species